rnacentral:rRNA from 1 species
UACGGAGGGUGCAAACGUUGCUCGGAAUCAUUGGGCGUAAAGCGCACGUAGGCGGUCCGGUAAGUCGGAUGUGAAAGCCCUCGACUCAACCGAGGAAGUGCAUUCGAAACUGCCGGACUUGAGUACGGGAGAGGGAUGCUGAAUUCCCGGUGUAGAAGUGAAAUUCGUAGAUAUCGGGAGGAACACCAGUGGCGAAGGCGGCAUCCUGGACCGAUACUGACGCUGAGGUGCGAAAGCGUGGGGAGCAAACAGG